CUUGGUCAGGAUGAACGCUAGCGACAGGCUUAACACAUGCAAGUACGAGGGGUAACAGGGUAGCAAUACCGCUGACGACCGGCGCACGGGUGAGUAACGCGUAUGCAACCUGCCUAUAACUGGGGAAUAGCUCCCUGAAAAGGGGGAAUUAACACCGCAUAACACUAUUGAUUCGCAUGGAUUGGUAGUUAAAUGUAGCGAUACAGGUUAUAGAUGGGCAUGCGUGACAUUAGCUAGUUGGUGAGGUAACGGCUCACCAAGGCUACGAUGUCUAGGGGUUCUGAGAGGAAGGUCCCCCACACUGGUACUGAGACACGGACCAGACUCCUACGGGAGGCAGCAGUGAGGAAUAUUGGUCAAUGGGCGCAAGCCUGAACCAGCCAUGUCGCGUGCAGGAAGAACCUGCCCUAUGGGUUGUAAACUGCUUUUAUAGUAGAAGAAACACAUCUACGUGUAGAUGUCUGCCAGUAUACUAUGAAUAAGCAUCGGCUAACUCCGUGCCAGCCGCCGC
rnacentral:rRNA from 1 species